CACAAUGGAAAUCUUAGGGUGCUCAGCAAACUAGAAAGAGCGGAAGUGAAAAGAAAAUAAGUCAGUGUGCAAACAGACUGACGUAAAAGAUGAAAUGAAGUGUUCUUUUAUGAACUAUAGGGACAGUUCCUCACGAAAUCGAUUCUUUUCUCAAGACGAACCAAUUAUGGCAUCCACACGCAAUCAAGGUCAGCCGAACGACUUCCGAACAGACAGAAAAUUGCUUUUGCGAAUUGGAACGGGAAAUGCCAAGGCUGUCGCGUGUGGACUGUAAACACAACGGACAGAAAAUUUAAAAUCAAUAACAAAAAUUGAA